UCUGGCUGCGACAUCUGUCACCCCAUUGAUCGCCACAGUUGAUUCAGCUGAUCUGGCUGGCUAGGCGUGUGUCCCCU
rnacentral:snRNA from 1 species